rnacentral:lncRNA from 1 species
UCUUGGCUUCGGAGUAGAUGCAGGCGACCGGUUGAUUCUCGUGGUCUUUUUCCUCUCAAAGAACCUAGUCCAGGAACUUCCAGUGUGUCAGAUCAAAUCCAAGCAACAAAGGUAAGGAGGGUUUCGAGAGAGACGGGGCAAAGGGUGGGGAGCCCGCCAGGGGAGCCCUCCAGCGCUAGAGGCCAUUGUCUUGUAUAUUUUCACCUCUCUGUGUCCCGCCUCCAGAAAGUGACAGAAGUGUCCCUUUUCACUCUAAUCUUUCUCAAAGGGGAGCACGUUCGACUCCCAUCUGCUCUGUGAUGGCCAGAAAAGAAGCUGCAUUUGGGGAGCAUUCUAGACUGUCUCCAGUUUCCCCCUUCCCUUUCUCUUCUCCUUAUUUUGCCAAAAUUUAAGUCUGAACUCUUUCACAAAUUCUGCCAUAUUUUAUAUGUGUUCUGACCUCUAUGUCAGAACUCAUUCCCCCACCCUCAAGAGCGCUCACUGUUUACAGAUGUUUUCUCCUUCCACACGGUCCCACCUAGUAAAAGUUCCUGCAGAGAAUUAACUGUGGUGUGUUAAUAGCCCAGGUCUGCUACUGCUCUCUCCUGCAAAGCUGAAAUCUGGUAAAGGUGGAGAAUGGCAUUGAACUUAUGUUGGGUAGCUGCUCCAGGCCCACAGGAGCCCAGACCUGAGCAUUCCAGGCCCGGGGAUUGGGUGGGAAGAAAGGUAGUGAAACUUUCAGGAUGUAAGGCAGAGAGGAAGAUAAGAAAAUGUGGCUAGAACAGAUCCUAAUAAGAGAAGAAUAGGGGAAGGCAGAAAAACGAGCCUUUGGGACCUCUUUGUAAUUUAAAAAGAAAUAAUAAUGAAGGGAAAUGGAGUAUCUAAAGCUUGCUAUUACAUUUUUUUAAACCCAAUGUCUGUUUAAGAACAAGUCCUCAGAGAUGCCAGCAAGGGCCUGAGUUUCCAAAUGGAACUGCUCACAAAGUUCCUUUGCAGUUCCCUCUUGAGUUAAUUUGCUGGGAAUGUGAAGACUGGGGAGAGGGCUCUGUGUGUGGUGUACCAAGGGCUCCAGUGAGAGUAUGAUGGGAAGGGGCACCUAGAUAUAAUGAGGCUGCUGUUUGAAGCUGAAUAGAGAAGUGGGGAAGGGGGAGAAAGCCGCACAACACUACGGUGCACUUUAAAAUUAUUCACACCUACCUGCCUUUCCCCUUUAACCACACUAUCAAAUAUUAUACAUAGGUGGGGGAAAUUUCUAGUUCAUCAUCUUUUGUCUAUAGCCCCACCCAAUUGAUCCCCCUUUGCUUAGAAGCCUGACAUGUAAGCCUAGACCAUGGCCUUUUUAUCAAGUGAGUGGGGCUUUGUUAAUGUAUUUGUACUUUUCAGCUUUCAGUCUAAGUUUCUCGCUUUGGAGGAAGGAGGGGGUGCAAGAAAGGAGGGGGAGGGGAGCAGAACACAAAGACUAUCUAGUUCUCACCAAGCAGGUUUCAGAAUAGGAACUUAAUGGGAAGGGAAAAAAAUGAAAGAAUGAAGAAAAAAAAAAUAAAGAGUGUAGUGAAAAUUGCUUAUCACAACAGGUUUGCUUGUCUGGAAGAGAGGUGAUUCUGCGAAUAUUUUUCCCUUUGAGGAUUCUGUUUUCUUCUUGUUGAAACAUUUUCAAAUUUUAAUCCUUUAGCAGACAAAAACCUCAAUAUAAAUAUGACAUGGGCCACUGGCAAAAAAGCCGAACUUAAACUCCGUGCUGAGAGGAGGGUGUGUGUGUGUGUGUGUGUGUGUGUGUGAGGGGGGGGGUGGAGAGAGCCCUUUCUGAUUAAUAACUAGCAGGGUAAUGUUGAGGGCUUUUUCUGCCCGAUUGCCUUUUUGAAUUAGAGCCGAUUUCUUCACACUUCAAUAGUGCCUGUCUCCUUUAAAAUGACUGGCAGAUUUGUUUCUCUUUUUUUCUCUCCCUGAGACUUAAUGAUGUAAAUUUUCUAAUUAGUUAAAUCAUAUUGCUUAAAGGCCUAAUAUUUACCGUGUAAGAAAUGAUCAUCCUGAUUUGGACCUCUUGAAAUAUUCCGAGAAAUAACAUUUGGCUUUUAGGUUGAAGGAUGAGAGAAGAGGAAGCUGUGUUAGGGAUAGUAGUUUAGAGGAGAGAAGGCAUAGACCCCGGCAACAUGUUAAAUUAAUAGUUGAAGUUGAGCUGGGCUCACACCCCAAGUCCGCUUUUAUUUUUCAAUCAGCGAAGAUUUAAUUGGCAGCCCUCAGGCCGGGCGAUCUGAUAUUUUCUCAUUAGUUUCCCAUCACUAAUCUUGAGUGUUAGAUUGGCUUAAAGGUUGUCAACAUUUGACCAAUUUUAUUUAAGGGAAAAAAAAAAAUCCCGCAUUAUGGCUCCGGGAUGUGAGAUCUGCAAAUAAAUCCUGCUUGGAUCAGCGGAACUAACAGGCGAAAAAAAUGUUGACUAUUCAUCGUCGCAUUUAAUAAGUUGCAUUAAUGUAUAUUUCAAGGCUAGGGAGAGAGAGAUUGUACAAGAGCUGUGUAGAUGCAGAUGAAAAGAGGUUGAUGGGGAGGCGGCUGCAGUGAGCGCGAUGGGUAGGUAAAGUGAGGCAUAGGUACAUUUCGAACAGAGGGGUAAAUAACCCAAGUGGAAUAGCUGUUGAGGGUUUAGGACCUACAAUCCCUCCUCCCCUUCCUUUUGCAGCUGCGUGAAACUAACUGCAAAGCCGGUGUUGAAGCUCGGAGCCGCACGGCUGUCUCGUCCACAUAUAACAUCAGAGCGCCCCCUGCUGGCCAGCGGAGUAGACCGCUGCAGGUCAGCCCCCUGCGAAGCAAAUCUUGUUUUUCUAUGUCCCCCCGCCCCCCAUCACAGUGACUCCCUUCCACCAACCCCACCUCGGUUCUGCAGCAAAACCCCGCGGGAGAGAAAUAACUUGCAAAGGCUGAACAUUUAAAUGAAUAAAUAGUAAAAAAAAAAAAAUAAUAAAGUACGAAGGAACCCCCACCUUCACUUGGCCUCCGGGGAAUUAACUAUCAAAUGACUAGAAAAGGGACACAUUUUCUCUUUCUAAAUCCUUUUAUUCUCUGGGUGUUUGCUGUGAUUUGUUUGUUUGUUUUGGCCAAACUGUAGAUUCCGGAGUGUAAGGAAAUGUUUGUAAUAGAUGCUGUCAAAGUUUAAAAAAAAAAAAAAUCUGAUGGGGAAAGAGGUCAAUACAAAACAAUAUUUUGCAGCUUCGCAAAAUAAAACUCCUGAGGAGCUUGCACUGUUUCCGUAACGUCCCACAGAAUCGCUUUCGGAAUUCAGUGCCUGGUAUUGAAUGACCCUUUCCUGCACCGCAAAGAAAAUACUGGUCCCUGUCCGAUUUUUUCCUCCCAAAUAGAAAAUGUAUUCAAAAGUUGUCUCCAUACCUUGUCUAUCGACACACACACACACACACACACACACACACACACACACACGGAAACGGAAUUUUGCUGGAAACGGAAAGGGUAGCUGGAGCGCACCAAAAACAAACCGCCAAUGUCUUUGACAUUUGAUCAUAUUCUGGUGCUUCACGUCAAAUGCAAGCGUGGGACUAUUUGAGAGUGUCUGGAUUACUAUUUUUUUUUUCGACCGUUUUGGUGCAUACAGGCGUUUUCUCGGCUUCCCAAUUAAUCUUCACGGAUUUAUGACCGCUCUAACGCGAGGGCGCACAGGUAACGAGAGCCGGGGCAAUCUCCGGCUGGCAGACGCGGUGACUCCGCCGCCAGUCUCUACUCUUGGGAAAGGCGCUGGCAUAGCAGUCCUGACUCGGAGAAGUCUCCUGACCACAGCUAGACCCCACACACAGAGUGUAAACCUGCAGCGAGGAACGACUUUAGUGUGUGGGGAGUUUGGGGGUUGCUUUUGAAAUACCCGGAUUUCAGGAUUCUGUGCAAACUGCUGUCAGAAAUGGGGCGCGGGGGAAGGCAGGGAGGAAAGGGGGGUGUCUUGAUGUUCAUUUCUGGCCAGGGUACCAGGAGUGUCUCCUUUACAAACCGCUCUCUUCCCUUGCUUCUCCCUAGAACCCUCCUGUGUCACGCCUUCUCCAACCCUCCUCUUUGGGGACGCUCCGGACCGGGAUGGGGACCCCGGGGGAACAGGGAAGGUGCUCUGCUAGGACAAGUCAGAGGCCGCCCGGGUCUUCUGGUGUUUGAAGAAUUGCUGGGAUUAUUUUUGCUAACUGAGGUAAAUUAAAUAUACUCCAAGUUGUUCUCAUUUUUUUUUUUUUUUUUGCCCGUUUUAAAGAAGUUCAGUGAGUUCAAACUUACUUUAAAUGUAAACCCUGGUCUGGAGGAAGCAGUGUCUGCGGCUUGCCACUGAAGUUGACUUUUGGAAAGGUCUUCAUUAAGCUCAGAAGUGGAAGAGGAGUUAUCUGCAGACAAUAUUGGUUCCUUUAAAUAUGUAUGUAUAUAUAAAACACGUUUUAUAUAUCUAGAUCUAUCUACCUGUAACAAAGAAAAGGAAGCAAGCGUCCCCAAUGCAGUUGAAUCUGAGUAGAAAUGUUUCCAGUAAGACACUUACAGAUUAAGAAAAUAGGAACACCUCAUCGUAUUUGUCUCUGUUUGACUUAAUGAAAUUUGGAGACACUGACAGUCUGGUCAAUGUUCUACGUAAAUUAAUGCAAAGGUCUUUAGAAAGAGACUGAAGAUACCUCUUGCCAUUAAUCUUAAACCACUUGAAGAUUAUGAUUAGAUGAAUGAGAUCACUAAGCAUUAUCAUUUCAAAUAGCCGUUAACUGUCUCCACCCCUGUAUUGUGGCAACAAAAUAAACUCUCCAGGAGGAAUGGUGUUUCUUCCUUUUUUUAUCUUUGUUUUGGUUUUGCUUUAAGAAGAAGGGGAAAGCACAAGAAAAGAAAAUCAUCUCGAGAAAGUCUUGGAUCUCCUGCUGUUAAAAAGCUGCUGUUUGUUUCCGACUUCCCCAUCUUUUGCUACACAAGGAAAAGAAAUCGAAUGAUGUGUCCACCUUUGAUGAGAAGUAAACACUAACGACAACAGGGAAGCUGCAUUUGUUUUGUUUUCUUUUCCCCUGAAAAAAAAUUUUUUUAAGAAAAAAAAAAUCCACCAAUUUAGCGAGUUGAAAAUCGUGGAGAUGUAAAAGAUGUUCACGUGUCCACGUCUAUUCGCUGACUUUCACCACUUGAAUUUUGUAGGCUUUUGUGUCAAAUAGAAAUUAUGGAAAAGAGAAUUAGACACUUGCCAAGGAACAAUAUUAUACACUUUCAAGUAAACUCCACCUAAUCCUGUAUUUGAGUGCUGAGGGGUGUGUGUGCUGUUUUCCCCUAAUAAACCUCAAAGCCCUCAUUAGACAGAGAGAACGAGGGGUGGAGAACUCUAUUACUGGGCAUUCUGACAAAAAAAUGGAAGCAGCGCCUCUCUGCCCCUAGAGCCCCAGGAAAGUGCACCCCGAUAAUAUGGAAAAGCCGUGUGUUUUCCUUGAGAGCCCCGAGUUGGGCAGACCUGUCAGAGAAAUACGCAGAAAUUAACAUUUUGAAAAGCAAAAUGUUGAAACAAAGGGCAGUGGCUAACAACGACGAAAACCACCACCACUCAAACAUGCUAAAAAUUAUUUCCCAAACCCUGCGAAUUUCCAGAUGCCACAGAAAAUCAAUGCAAAAGCGCCCCCUCCUAACUGAGCGGACAGCUCUCCUGCCGGGUGAUGUUUCCAGCUAAAGUGGAGUUGGAGAUCCCACCACGACAGGAGCACUGGGAGAUGUUACCCUGAGGCUACCGGGAGGGGAGGGGGUGUCCCCCUACCCUCUGUCCUAGCUGCCCACCUGUGCCCUCCUCCCCUUAGCUGGGGCGCGGGAGAGGCGAGGAGCUGGGCCGAGUCCGCGCCCCGAGUCUGCCAGGGGUGCCGCGAGCCGAGACUCCUACCAAGCCGAGGAGGAGACCCGAAGAGGCCCCCAGAGGCGGAAGAUUCGGUCAGAGGGACCGUUCCCGGUCUGAGCUUCCCGCAAGUGCCCGCUCAAUCUCGGGGCCAGGCUCCCUUGCCCGGUUGGACAAAAGGCUCGUAGGCCACGUUGGUCCCGGAACGAAUGUGAAAUGCAAAGGAGGGGGGGGGGGCAGUCUCCCCUCUCCCCGCGCGGGUGUGUGUGCACGCGCGUGCGUGUGUGAAACACGUGCACUUGGAGCUGGCCUCUGGCCGCAGACGUCAGCUGGGGAAGUUCACCGUCGUGGCUUCCCGGGACCUGAGCCCACGCCUUCCCUGGUCUCCCACCCUCCGCCUCAGCCACCCCCACCAGCGCCGCCGAUCGGGGCCACGCCUGCACAGGUGUGGUGCCUUUAACUGGAAGGCGCCUGCGAAAAGAUCCAGUGGAGGAAAGGCUGCGGGGGAGGGGGGCAAGGAGCCGGGAAGAAAGAGGGUCCUUCUAGAGCUCAGAGGUCCCUAUCUUCGAGUGAUGGCCAUCACACUCCAUCUUUGCGCCCCGACCGACUGUAUCCAAAAAAGAUUGGUUCGCGGGAAAAGCAGGCUCACCAUAACCUCGGGGUUGGACUCGGGCUCUUGAGACCUAAGCAGGCUUUGCUUGGAUUCAAAAGUAUGAUUUUAAUUUUCUUAAUGAAGGCGCGCUCUAGAGCUCAGCUGGUAAUGACUGUGCUGAGUUUAAUAGACUUCUGUCGAACAGAAAAAGACGGAUAACUAUCGGUUAUAAGUAAUCUGCUCUAAUGCAAUUAUUUUCCCAGGUUCGAAUGUCAUUGUGCAGAGAGGGCAGGAGUGAAUUAGGGCCCCGGGGACCGAGGACACCAGGCAAGGAGACCGCCUGAAAUACGAGCUGAACCUGUCUUGUGAGAUGCUCUCCGGUCUGGGGGUCGGGGGUCGAAGCUUUCAAAGCCCUCGGUGUGCACGUGCUAAAACGUCUCUGUCUCUCUCUUCCUCCCCUCUGUCCAUCUCUUCUUGUUUUCUCUCUAGUUCCCUCUUCCCUUUUGUCAUCUCUGCCAGAGUUCGUGUGACUUUCCCUUUCCCCUCCUCUAUUUUGCCUGUCUUGGUGGAUUUCACGCAGACCCUCAACUAUUUCUCCACAACAUACUGACACAGAAGGAGGCUCUUGGGCUGUGUCAACCCGUUCACUUUUUGAAAUCACUAGAAAUGGGAUGUUUAGGACAAUGAUGAUACCAUGUACACAUGCCUAGUAAUCUGUCAGAAGCAUUAUUUCCAUCCCAAUACAGGGCCAAUCCAAGUCGCUGUCCCAAAGUAGCCCCAUUUUAGCUCUAACACAAAGGGUUAUUCAUAGUAAAUUUCAUUUGGAUUUACCCAAACUUUUCUUAGCUCUCCAUUCACCUUGCCUGGUAGACACAUUCUCAGGUGGAUGUGACUUCACAAAAUAAUACAAUUCAUAAUUUCCAUUCUUAUAGAGAAUAAGCCAAAUCAGUGGAAGGAAAGCCCUGUGAUGAAGGAUUUGUAGGCAGGUAGGCCUGCAGGCCAGAGGGCUGAGGGCCGGGCAGCCCAGCCAGGCACCCUGGAGCCCAGCUCUCCUGUCUGAACCUUUGCCACCCGCCACUCCAGCCCCACUUUCCCCACAAGCCUCUCUCUCUACAUCCUGAGGAACAGGGCUUGGGGCUGACACAUAAAAAGACUUAGAUGAACCCUGGAGGAUAGGUGGCUGUUCCAGACCCAUGAGGCCAGGCGACAAUAGUUGGGGGCUGCGGUGUUUGAGUUACACAGAGCCACUUGGUCUACAGAUCCCUAGCCUCGUACAUUCUGUCUCUGCCCUCCCCACCUCCUUCUACAAACAUGCCGGGUGACCUAGGCACACGUGUACAGAAAUAGCCACAAAGCUCCGCAAUUACUAUCUUUUCUCUGACCCAAUCCUACCCUAUUUCUGUUGGCUUCUGCCACCAGGCCUUGACAAAGAGGAAAGAAGAUCAGAUCAAAACAAAAACUUAUUUGUGGGGCGCCAGGGUGGCUCAGUCAGCUAAGCGUCCCACUUAGACUCAGGUCAUGAUCUCACGGUGAGUUUGAACCUGCUUCGGGGUCUGUGCUUUGCUGGGAGCCUGCCUCAGAUUCUGUGUCUACCCCCCCGUCUCUGCCCCUCCCCAGCUUGCUCUCUCUCAAAAAACAAAACAAAAAAACAUAAUUUAAAAAUACCAAAAACUUAUUUGCAAAACCCCUCGGGUCUCCCUGGCUGAGGACCAGCACAGCUGGUGCCCCAGGGAGAACUCCGUGUGGAAUGAGGCCCAUGCAGCCCUGGGUGAGGGUUGGAUGAGGGGGGUAGCUUUUCACCUUCCUCAUCCCCCAUGAUCUUUGCCUUCCCCGGCUGCUGGGAAGAGAAUUAGGAUGGGAUUUAGUCCUCAGGUCCUACAUUGGUGGGUGAGAAAGUCUGUGAUCCAAGAGCCCUGCCUGAAUUUAAGCGCUCAGCCUCCAGUGCCUGUAAAGAUAGAGAAGGUGGCUGGGCAGCCAUCAGGACCAGCCUGCUCCAGCACGAGCCCCCUGCAGCAGCCUCUGCUCGGAGGGGGUCCGCAGGGCCUCAGCGUGACGUGGGGCGGCACCAAGAAUGAAAGGAAGGUCUGCCUCUGGGUCCGUGAGCAGGUUUGGAAUGGGAGAAGGGGCGACUGUCAGGAGCCCGGCCACCAAAUUCUUCUGUCAUCCCUAGAUCUGUCAUCCUUCUGUGGCUCCCCUGCAGGAAAACUGCUGUGUUGUAUGGUUUUGGUGACCUAGUAGGAGAGCAACAGCAAAGACCCAGGGAGCCCCACAAGCUCUAGGUGGGUUGAAUUCUGCUUUUGAAAAGUCGGUGAGAGGAAAGUGCACUUUUCCAAGCACCCUCUCUGCUAAGCGGGGUGGAGAAGGGCUUGGUGGAGAGUGAGGAAAAGCCAAUUACCCCCAUUCUCUCCAGGGAGGAACUUGGACAGAACGAGAAUCUCUUCCCCCAGAGCAGCAGAGAACUCCUUGCAAAGGUGUCUCGGAGUCCCAGCCUGAGCCACUUAUAUUGUGUGGGCUCCCAUCUCAGUCUCAGCCCCGCAGCCAUUGACUGCAUUAAGUCUGGGAACAGAAUGUAAGGAGGCCCAAUCAGACUUAGGCUUGCUUCUCCCACAAUUACUCCCCUGUUUUAAAUGUCAAUAGAGGAAAACUUUUUUUUUUUUUUUUACAGUAAAUCGAAGGUGUCAUUAUAUUCACAUAGAAUUAGGUGUAAAAAUUAAGGUACAAAUUGUGCUUACACAUUUUUAAAGGAUUGCCCUGAACAUCACAUGCUUUUAGAGAACAUGACACUUACAAGCUUUGAGGAUAAAGAACACUACGAGCACCUGAAAUCCCCCCCGUAUGCCACCCUUGCACCAUGAUGUAGAAGCAGGGGGGUGCCUCAAGAAUAUCUCAAGUGGGGCCACCUGCGUGGCUCAGUCGGUCGCGAUUCCAACUUCUGCUCAGGUUAUGAUCUCCGGGUUUGUGAGUUCCAGCCUCACGUCGGGCUCUCUGCUGUCAGCACCAAGCCAGCCCACUUCAGAUCCUCUGCUCCUUCUCUCUCUGCCCCUCCCCUGCUCAUACGCUCUCUCAAAAAUAAAUAAACCUUCAAAAAAAAAAAUAAAGUAUCUCAAGUGGUAAGAACUCCUAAAACAAACUAACCAAUACACAAAAAAUAACACAGUUUUGCAUCCUUAAAGUUUCUGUAAAAGACAAUUUGAGACAAAUACCUAACUACAAAGCUUUUUCUGGGUACAUAUUUAUCCCGUCUCUUCAUUUUAUUUAUUUAUCUAAUUUUUUAAAAAUGUUUUUAUUUAUUUUUGAGACAGAGAGAGACAAAGCAUGAGCAGGGGAGGGGCAGAGAGAGAGGGAGACACAGAAUCUGAAGCAGGCUCCAGGCUCCGAGCUGUCAGCACAGAGCCCGAUGCGGGGCUCGAACUCAUGGACUGUGAGAUCAUGACCUGAGCCGAAGUCGGAGGCUUAACCAACUGAGCCACCCAGGCGCCCCCCCAUCUCUUCAUUUUAAUACAGAUUAAGUAAUCUGCUCAGAAGGGGUGAUACACCCACAACAAAGUGAGGGCAGUCGUUUAUACUCGAAGCUUAUCCAUCGGCCCUAGGACUUUAGAAUGUUCAAGUGAAGUGUAAAUAGAAUAAGGUCACAGGUGAUUGACAAGUUCAAGUUACUUAGUUCAAUUAUCAAAAUUUUAUUUCUAAAUUAUGUUCAGUUUGAUUAUCUGCUCUGCUAUAAAUGACCUUAGAAAAUCCAAUGGGAGCAGACAAUUUACACCAUGUCCUAUGUACCAUGAUUUAUUUGUAAAGUCAUUUUGUCACGUAUGCCUCCUUUAAUGCUUCUGUGGAGAGCAAGUCUUUACAAUUAGAUUUAGAAAUGCAGCUACCAUUCUAAUUUGAAGGCAGUCACUUUAAAGACAAUAAUCACUAAAUUUUGACAACUUUCUUUAAAAAUUGUUUUACUGUUUAUUUUUGAGAGAGAGAGAGACAGAGAAACAUGGACAGACAAUGAGUGAGGGAGGGGCAGAGAGAGAGGGAGACCAGAAUCCAAAACAGGCUCCAGGCUCCUUCCAUGCUGUCGGCACAGAGCCCCACGCGGGGAUCAAACUCACGAACCAUGAGAUCAUGACCUGACUGAGACACCCAGGAGCCCCUCUGACAACUUUCUAAACUAUCUCUGAAUUUCUAACCUGCAGACAGAACCUGCAGACUGUUGAGAAUCUAAUUCUCUGGAUGUUGGCAUGCUAUACACAAUGUCUGUCUA